ACAAAUAUUGUAGUUUAUUAUAAUUUUAGGACAUAUAUCUUCAUCCGAAUCAAUUUUCGAUUCAAAAUGGCCUCCUCAGCUCUACAGGAAAAUUAAUGAGAAAUAAGUUGGUGAAAUAUUUCAAGCCACAGCUAGAGGAUAUGUGCGAAAAAUUGUAGACAGUAGAUGCAUUGGGGUGUGUCAAUUUUUCACUUUUCGCAAAUUUAAUUUUGUCAACCUUUAAAUGUCCAGAUUCUGGAGGUUUAGAAGUUUGUACAGGUUUAUACAAGUAGAAAGCUGAAGUGCCCGGCGUUGCCCGUCAAAUAAAAAAAAUUAAAAUUAAAAAAAAGAUUAAAUUUUGAAGAAAAAAAUUUAUUUCGAAAAAAAUGGAAUAAAAUUUUUUUUUAACCUAUGAUACCAUCAGAGUACCAAUAGAUUCCCUUAAAAAAUGUUAGCCAAAAUGGUCCACCUGUUUGGCCAGCAAUAGCUGACAUAUAAAUAUAUAUAUUUAUCAUUCGUCGUCGUCGUAUAUAUCAACAAGAUUAAGACAACUUUAGAUUUCGUGUUUUGAUUUCUAACAAGCUUUCAAAUAGCACGGAUUGGAUACACAUAAACAUGGAAACUAAGAGAAGUUGUCAAUUGACAGUGUCUCUUAGUUUUCAAUUGUGAACUUGUAAUUUGAAAAAAGCUUUUUAGAAAUCCAAACUUAAAUAGGAAAGCCGUAUUCAAUGUAUUGAUAUAAACGCCGACCACUGUUUUUUUUUGUACCAGAUUUGGAAAGUAGAAAUGAAAUUUUUUGACAAUUCUUACAAGUUGAAAUUUUGACACACAUACUGGAAUUGUAUAAUUGUAUAUAUUUGAUAUUUAUCAUAUUUAUUGUGCUAUAAUCAAAUUGCAAACUUAACAUUGUUUAUGAGACCUUUGCUAUGAAAUUGUUUGUGAUUUAAAGAUAUAAAAAAAUGAAUUUUUUAAAAUUCACUCUGCGUUUUGUAUGACCUCGAAAAUAACAUCAAUCAAAUAUAAAAUAAAUGUUAACAAUAA